UCCAUACAGUUCAGAAUUGAAUUGUGAAUCGUGAUAGAUUCAAAAUAAACAAUUUUAAUAGAAUUGGUGAAAAUACUUAGUAAAUCACCAUUUCAUCUUUAAACUGUCCGUGGCAAAAAAGCAAUUAUCGAAUGUAGGGCGGACUGUCAAGAAAGUUUGAACGUACUUUCUGCUGCCUGCCCAUUAUUUUCUGUCCGCAAUCGAAAAAACAUUUGAUCUCGAGCAUCCUUUGGUACAGUUGUGAAAUAAAACUAGUGCAAAAUAUCAAUAUCUUUUAAAUUGAUUAAUUUGAAAAAAAAAAAUCUACAUUAAAAAUGCAAAACAGUCGAAUAAUGUUUAUUAAAAAUUUUGUUAGAAAGUACAGUUCUAUUGUGAAUAAUCAUUUAGUGAAAAAAAACGAAAACUAUGAGAUAAAGUUUGAUAGAAAUGCUAGUACCUUAGUUGAGAAUAUUAAUGAGGAACAACUUGAAUGUGUUCGACCGUAUAAGGAAAUUCCAGGCCCUAAACCACUCCCACUUUUGGGCAACACAUGGCGAUUUAUUCCCUACGUUGGUGACUUCAACAUUCAAAGCAUCGACAAAGUAUCCCAAAGAUUGUAUGAAAAAUAUGGGGACAUUGUAAAAAUCGAGGGAUUAAUAGGAAGACCAGAUAUGGUUUUUUUGUAUGAUGCAGAUGAAAUCCAACGAAUUUUUCGUCAAGAAGAAACAAUGCCACAUCGUCCUUCAAUGCCAUCUCUUAAUUAUUAUAAACACAUUCUCCGAAAAGAUUUCUUCAAAGACAAUGGUGGUCUUAUUGCUGUACAUGGUGAAAGUUGGUAUCAAUUUCGUAGCAAAGUACAGCAGGUGAUGCUCCAACCAAGAAUUGUUAGUUUAUAUACGAGUGCAAUUGAAGAAUCAAGUCUAGCUUUCAUUAGAAGAAUUCAACAAAUCAGAGAUGAAAGUAAUGAAGUACCUGAUGAUUUUUUAAAUGAAAUAAAUAAAUGGUCUUUAGAAUCAAUUGCUAAAGUUGCACUGGACCUUCGACUUGGUUGUAUGGAUGAAAAUGCUAAUUUAGAAACUCAACAGCUCAUAGAUGCUGUACACACAUUUUUCACAAAUGUUGGAAUUUUAGAGUUAAAAUUCCCUUUUUGGAAAUUAUUCAAAACUCCGAAAUGGUGUGCGUAUGUUAAUGCUUUGGAUUACAUACUCAGUUUUACUUCUAAAUACUCAAAAAUUGCAAUGGAUCACUCAAAAAAAAUUAAGAAAGAGACGCAAGAAUUAUCACUACUUGAGAGAAUACUUAAAAUGGAUGAUAAUAAUAGUCAUUUAGCAUCAAUAUUAGCGCUCGAUUUAUUUUUAGUUGGAAUCGAUACGACCGCAACUGCUGUUGGUUCAAUUUUAUAUCAACUGGCACUUCAUCCAGAAAAGCAAUCAAUUCUACAUGAAGAGAUAGCACGUGAACUACCUGUAGAAGACAAUCAAAUUGAACGUAAACAUUUGGAUAACCUACGAUACCUCAAAGCAUGUAUUCGUGAGACUUUGAGAAUGUAUCCAGUUGUAAUUGGAAAUGGGCGGUGCAUGACCAAGGAUACUGUAAUUAAAGGCUAUCAUAUUCCUAAAGGUGUACAGGUGGUAUUUCAACACUACGUAAUUAGUAACCAAGAAAGGUAUUUUUCAAAUUGCAAUCAGUUUUUACCCGAGCGAUGGUUGAAUGAUGGAGAGCAACGUCAUGGAUUUGCAUCACUUCCUUUUGGUUUCGGUAGGAGAAUGUGUAUUGGACGUCGAUUCGCAGAUCUUGAAAUAACAAUUGUCAUAAGCAAGAUUAUUCAGAAAUUCCGAGUAGAUUACAGGUAUGGAAAAAUGGAGUAUCACAUAAACCCACUUUAUACCCCAAAGGGUCCUCUGAGGCUGAGGUUUAUUGAGCGAUGAAAUUAAUUUUGGAGUAAAAAAUUCAAGAUCAUUAUAUGUAUAUGAAUUUGUACAGAAAAAUUUAUUUCUAUUCGUCUCCGUCUGGAGCAUACAUGAACGUAACUUUGUAUUUUAGUGGAUCAUAGUGGUAUUCUAAUUUAUAAUUUCUUAUCAACUGAAAUGAAAAAAAAAUCAAUUUUAUUAUU
rnacentral:misc_RNA from 1 species